UACGAAGGGUGCAAGCGUUACUCGGAAUCACUGGGCGUAAAGGGUGCGUAGGCGGGUUUUUAAGUCAGGGGUGAAAUCCUGGAGCUCAACUCCAGAACUGCCUUUGAUACUGAAGAUCUCGAGUCCGGGAGAGGUGAGUGGAACUGCGAGUGUAGAGGUGAAAUUCGUAGAUAUUCGCAAGAACACCAGUGGCGAAGGCGGCUCACUGGCCCGGUACUGACGCUGAGGCACGAAAGCGUGGGGAGCAAACAGG
rnacentral:rRNA from 1 species